CCUACGGGUGGCAGCAGUCGAGAAUCAUUCACAAUGGGGGAAACCCUGAUGGUGCGACGCCGCGUGGGGGAAUGAAGGUCUUCGGAUUGUAAACUCCUGUCAUGUGGGAGCAAAUUAAAAAGAUAGUACCACAAGAGGAAGAGACGGCUAACUCUGUGCCAGCAGCCGCGGUACUACAGAGGUCUCAAGCGUGGUUCGGAAUCACUGGGCGUAAAGCGUGCGUAGGCUGUGUCGUAAGUCGUGUGUGAAAGGCGCGGGCUCAACCCGCGGACGGCACAUGAGACUGCGAGACUAGAGUAAUGGAGGGGGAACCGGAAUUCUCGGUGUAGCAGUGAAAGGCGUAGAUAUCGAGAGGAACACUCGUGGCGAAGGCGGGUUCCUGGACAGUAACUGACGCUGAGGCACGAAGGCCAGGGGAGCGAAAGGGAUUAGAUACCCGAGUAGUC
rnacentral:rRNA from 1 species